UGUAAAGUUCAAGCUCCGAUUAUGAGGGCGAACCGCGAAUGGCUCAUUAAAUCAGUCAUAACCUACUUGAUUGUUUAAAGUUUAUAUGGAUAACUGUGGUAAUUCUAGAGCUAAUACAUGCACAAAGGGGGCGACUCUUGUAAGAGAGAAGCUCUGCGUUUAUUAGACUAAGACCAAUGAUUGUAGCUUCUGUUGCAAUCUUGAAAUAAGGUGACUCUGAAUAAAUAAUGGGUGAAAGCCCAUGUUGCUGACCUGACAUACCAAAAGGCUUGCGUGCCCAAUUUUUUGGGUUGCUUGUCUGUCAGGCAAAUCAAUCGAGUGUCUGCUCUAUCAACUGUGGAUGGUAGGAUAAUUGCCUACCAUGGUGAUGACGGGUAACGGGGAGUUAGGGCUCGACUCCGGAGAACAAGCCUGAGAAACGGCUAGUAGGACUAAGGUCUGCAGCAGGCGCGAAACUUACACAAUGCUAGAUUACAAUUAGCGAUGUAGUGAAGAAAAAUAACGAUGUACUUCCAUUUAAACAUGGUAGUACAAUUGGAAUGAGACGACUAUAAAUGAGUUAGUCGAGUAACAAAUGGAGGGCAAGUCUGGUGCCAGCAGCCGCGGUAAUUCCAGCUCCAUUAGCAUACAUUAAAGUUGUUGCGGUUAAAAAGCUCGUAGUUGAAUUUUAGGCGGGCUCUAUUGGCAGGCAAUCGUUAAGGGUUUGCACUGGCUCCGGCCUCUCAAAUCUGGUUGUCCUGUUCCUAUAGGAACCCGCUGUUUCGUCACUUAAUCGAGUGCGAAGCAUGCUGGAUUAAAUAUACUUUUUCUAAAAUAUAUCUAUUUCAGCGAGUUUACCUUGAGAAAAUUAGAGUGCUCACAGCAGGCAGUUGGGGUGUAAAAGCUCCUUUUAUGCUUGAAUAAUGUUGCAUGGAAUAAUAGAAUACGGCCUCGGUUCUAUUCUGUUGGUCUUAUAGAACAACAAACAAGUUGAUUAAAGCGAUCAAAGUCUGUACUUGUAGUGUGGCUUUUUACCUAGUACUAAUUAGCCUGUUGCGUUUGGAUAAAACCUUUGUGCCAGAUAAUUGUGCUGGUUUAAGUCAAUUAACACUGCUUGUUAUCAAAGGACUAGCUUUUUAAUCAACUGAGGCAAUGGUUAAAAGAAAUAGUCGCGGCGGCAUCAGUACUGCAUCGUGAGAGGUGAAAUUCUUAGACCGAUGCAAGACUAACUGAAGCGAAAGCGUUUGCCGAGGAUAUUUUCAUUAAUCAAGAACGAAAGUUAGAGGUUCGAAGGCGAUCAGAUACCGCCCUAGUUCUAACCAUAAACGUUGCCAACUAGCAAUUGGGUUGCGAUUCCUUUAAUCGUUGUUAGGUAAAUCAAUUUCUACCACUAUGAUCCACCCAGCGGCUCUCGUAGGGAAACCAAAGUGUUUGGGUUCCGGGGGAAGUAUGAUUGCAAAGUUGAAACUUAAAGGAAUUGACGGAAGGGCACCACCAGGAGUGGAGCCUGCGGCUUAAUUUGACUCAACACGGGGAAACUUACUAGAUUAGAACUCUGGAAUGAUUGACAGAUUGAUAGCUCUUUCUUGAUUCAGAGGAUGGUGGUGCAUGGCCGUUCUUGAUUCGUAUUCCGAAACGUCUGCUUAAUUGCGAUAACGAGUGAGACCUCACCCAACUAACUAGUCGUCUGGUACGCUGUGGGACACAAAAGUCUUGGUGGGGUUCAAUGGGGUAGCUGGUUUGGGUUCGCUUAGAUCAGUUGCUCCUCCCCAUUUAAGAUGUCCUCUGCUUGCCAACGGACUUCUUAGAGGGAUAAACGGUGUUUUAGCCGUAAGAAACGAGGCAAUAACAGGUCUGUGAUGCCCUUAGAUAUUCUAGGCCGCACGCGUGCUACAAUGGCGUGUGCAAAAAGCUUGUUCGAGGUUUGUCCAGGGAGAACUGGUUGCUUGGUUUGCGUUCGCAAGGAUGUAGAUCGGCUUCAAAGUGGCCCUGGUUUUUCAGGCCGAGAGAAACCGUAGUCGAAAGAUUACGGCAAUCAUAAAUACACGCCGUGAUUUGGGAUUGGGGAUUGCAAUUGUUGCCCAUGAACGAGGAAUUCCCAGUAAGCGCAAUUCAUCAUAUUGCGUUGAUUACGUCCCUGCCCUUUGUACACACCGCCCGUCGCUACUACCGAUUGGAAGUUUUAGUGAGGCAUUUGGACCUGCUUUAGACUAACUUUCGGGUUAGGAUUAAGCGGGGAAGUCUGUCGAACUCAAAUUUCUAGAGGAAGUAAAAGUCGUAACAAGGUUUCCGU
rnacentral:rRNA from 1 species